rnacentral:rRNA from 2 species
UACGGAGGGUGCGAGCGUUAUCCGGAAUCACUGGGUUUAAAGGGUGCGUAGGUGGCUUAAUAAGUCAGCUGUGAAAUGUCUGGGCUUAACCGAGGCAUUGCGGUUGAUACUGUUAGGCUUGAAUCAAGUUGAGGUGGCUAGAAUGUGACAUGUAGCGGUGAAAUGCAUAGAUAUGUCAUAGAAUACCAAUUGCGAAGGCAGGUUGCUAGACUUUGAUUGACACUGAGGCACGAAAGCGUGGGGAUCAAACAGG